GCCUCUCCUGACACCAAAACAAAAACGUGAGAAUUUCAGUGAAAUAGUCAUGCAUUGAGUAAAGUACAAAAAAUCUGAAAGUUUUAAUAAACUCAAAUAUAUCUUUCAGAAACCAGUAUACAAAUGAUUUCUCAUUUACCUUUUUAAAUACAACUAAAUACACACAAAAUCUAAGCAACAUUUAGCAUUUUCACUCUAAAACUUGGAGACCUCAUCUUUUAUCUAACCUCUCUUUUUUCCAGUACAGCGUCAUUACCAUGGAGUUUCAUCUAACAAUGCUUGUUCCAUCUGUUUCCAUUUUGUCAUGAAAAUCAAAGGAGGUAGUGGAUGUGAAAUUUUACUGAUUACAUAUAUAGGAUCCAAAUAACAUGCAGUGACAAACCUCCUGCAUAUGGCUGAAUGCUAAGCCACCAGCUACUCCUGCCCUCACAUCUCACAACUUUGCUGCAAGAAAAAACAAAACAGAACAUCUUGGCUAAAACUGCCCACCUCCUUACCCCAAGCUUGAUGCCAGCUGAAGAGUCCCAGGAGACCAGUUGGCUUAGCCCGGGUCAGAGGCCCUGGAUGGGAGUGGAUGAUUGGUAGCCAUCAUUUGCACCUGAUGGUUAGAGUGUGAGAGAAGCAGUCUUCCUGAAGAAGAGAGGUGGUGUCCUCAGAAAAGAGGAAGGGUACAAGGUUGUGAAAGCAAUAAAUGCUCACGCAAAAGAGGGUUGACCCAAGGUCUGGCCUUCUUCUUGCCACUCUCUAGUGAGGGAGCCCUUAGGAAAUUGAUUAUGCUCUCUGUCAAGCGGCAAAAAUAAAACCUGCCCCUGCCUUACGUGGUGAUGUGAGGAACAGAUUACAGAAUAGAUUUAAAGUGGCCUUUCAAAGUUUAAAGUGCGAUACCAAUGAAAGGUAAACUAAGUUAUUCUGGUUCUCUCCCUGCAUUUGGUCAGUUCCUGUAACGCAAACCAUUCUAGGUAGGUUAUAAUCUCAUGAAAGUUCGGAAGCAAGGAUUAAGGCCACUCUCUAGCUCUGUUUGGUUGAGAAACAGCACUAUUUCAGAGAUUUUUUAAAUAGAUAAAAUUGUAUUCAUCACCUGUUAAAUCAUGCAUGAGAUUUACUUGGGGUGAUCCCUGAAAUUUUUUCAAUUAGAAAAAUGUAAAUUACAAAAUACAUUAUUUAUAAUGCACACACGGUUGACUAUGUUUUAGAAUAUUACCUAAAGAAACCACAGAAGAAUAACAACACAAAUACAGAUUCUUUGAUACUAUACUAGUAUACAUGUUCUGCUUCUUCCUUUCAGGUCUAUUUGCAGAGUCUUCCAUUCUUGAGCAAUUUUCUCUGGGGUGACUCUCCGCUACUAUGAAACCUGUGUCUGUUUGACAAUACCUGUGCCCAUUGUGCAGAGUUCUUUGUGGCCCUAUCAUGGGGGACUUCCAUUCUGUACUUGGUUACUUCAGUGUGUCAGCUAGAUCCAGCUGCUCUGCGCUGGUUCAUGUGGGUACCACCUACAUGCAAUGCGUCUCCAUUUAUCUUACUGUCCAUCCAGGUCCAUUGUACCCUUCAAGACUGGUUGAAGCCCACUGCUGUAGGACAUCAGUUCCUCUGGCCCUGUUCCUUUGUGAAGCCUUUUUGUGUUUUGUGUGACUGUGUGAUCUGACUGCAUUCACAGGCACUUCUCACACAUAGCUUUGUGCAUCUUCUCAAAUUGCUACAUGUGUAUGUUUGUCCCUCCAAAGGAUUAAAACCUGAGUGAGUGCCAGCUUUCUCUGCAGGAGGAGUGGGUAGUGACCUUUGGUGCUUCCAGAAGAAAAGCAUGCAGGACAUCAUGGUAAAAGUGGGAUGCGCAGCAGAGACACCCUUGCAACUUCAUCCCGCUGCUCACUUCCCACCUGGGUCCCUGACCUCACUGGAAAUUGGGGUCCAGGGACUGGAAUCCAUUUGCUCUGGCCUUUGUCUCUCUGGGCUGGGUGUGGGGCCGUGAAAGGAUGAGCGCCUCCUGCCCAUGGUUGCAAUGGGAGAUCCAGAGGAUACAUGCUGAAAAUAAUAUCCUGGGGUGAGGGCCAAGGUCAUGGCCAGUGAGUGAGUCCAAACCAUCUCAUAAAUUAAUGCAACUCUUGGAAAACUGGGAGCUGAGUUAAUGGAGCCGAAAUGAGUGGUGUGGAGCCACAGGGAGAGCCACGAGUGUCCAGAGGGAGCCAGUGCCACCGGCCACGCGGCCCAAGACCUUCCAGGGCCUUCCCUUCAUGGUCUUGCAGGCAGCUGGGCCUGCUGGGGCCGGAAGGGAGCUGGGCCCCUCAGACACAGCCGAGGAAAACUUGACUGCUGGUGUGCCAGAUCCGUCCACAGGUCCCCAGGGAUUCCCCAAGUGAAUUCUGUCCUCUAAAGCUCGUCACAAACAGGUAGGAAAUUCUACUCUUUAAUUAUCCUAAUCCCAAACAAGUCAUGAUACUCACAUAGCCAAUUUCAGGUUUAAUCGUGUUACCUUUAUCCAAGUAGAAAUCAAUUCCCAUUUUUGUAUAGCUCUGCAGAACAUCCAGAGUGCUUCAGCGCAGAGCAAGGCCCCAGCAGUUAUGAGUGCUAUCAUCAUAUGGGAAAAAGAAGUUCAUCACUCUGUGUGUGUGUGGAGCGGGAAGGGAUGGGAGGCAAGUUUAUGACAGUUUCCAUACUUUAUCUAACUAUCCAUACACUUCCUCCUCUUCCCUCCUCUUCCUGUUGGGACAUGUUUGUACAUGCCACAUGCCAUGAGAUUCCAAAGGAAAUAUGAGCCCUUUAUGAUUGUCUAAAUCAGAGUCCAAUUGCAGGGCUGGGCCUUGUGUUACAAAUUCAAUCACAGUUUAGAAAUUAAUCAUACACUUGGCUGGGCGUGGUGGCUCUCGCCUGUAAUCCCAGCACUUUGGAAGG
rnacentral:lncRNA from 1 species